rnacentral:rRNA from 1 species
UGAAGAGUUUGAUCAUGGCUCAGAUUGAACGCUGGCGGCAGGCCUAACACAUGCAAGUCGAGCGUCGGGCGAGAAAGCACUUCGGUGUGAGUAGAGCGGCGGACGGGUGAGUAACGCGUAGGAAUUUGCCCAGUAGUGGGGGACAACAUGUGGAAACGCAUGCUAAUACCGCAUACGCCCUACGGGGGAAAGCAGGGGAUCUUCGGACCUUGCGCUAUUGGAGAAGCCUGCGUCGGAUUAGCUAGUUGGUGGGGUAAAGGCCCACCAAGGCUACGAUCCGUAGCUGGUCUGAGAGGAUGAUCAGCCACACUGGGACUGAGACACGGCCCAGACUCCUACGGGAGGCAGCAGUGGGGAAUAUUGGACAAUGGGGGCAACCCUGAUCCAGCCAUGCCGCGUGUGUGAAGAAGGCCUUAGGGUUGUAAAGCACUUUCAGUGGGGAGGAAGGUAUCAAGUUUAAUAAACUUGGUAAUUGACGUUACCCACAGAAGAAGGACCGGCUAACUCCGUGCCAGCAGCCGCGGUAAUACGGAGGGUCCGAGCGUUAAUCGGAAUGACUGGGCGUAAAGCGCGCGUAGGUGGUUAUUUAAGUUGGAUGUGAAAGCCCAGGGCUCAACCUUGGAACUGCAUCCAAAACUGGGUAACUAGAGUACAGUAGAGGGGGGUAGAAUUUCAGGUGUAGCGGUGAAAUGCGUAGAGAUCUGAAGGAAUACCAGUGGCGAAGGCGGCCCCCUGGACUGAUACUGACACUGAGGUGCGAAAGCGUGGGUAGCGAACAGGAUUAGAUACCCUGGUAGUCCACGCCGUAAACGAUGUCUACUAGCCGUUGGGAGGCGAGGUUUUAGUGGCGCAGCUAACGCAAUAAGUAGACCGCCUGGGGAGUACGGCCGCAAGGCUAAAACUCAAAUGAAUUGACGGGGGCCCGCACAAGCGGUGGAGCAUGUGGUUUAAUUCGACGCAACGCGAAGAACCUUACCUACUCUUGACAUCCUCGGAACUUAGCAGAGAUGCUUAGGUGCCUUCGGGAACCGAGUGACAGGUGCUGCAUGGCUGUCGUCAGCUCGUGUCGUGAGAUGUUGGGUUAAGUCCCGUAACGAGCGCAACCCUUGUCCUUAUUUGCCAGCACGUAAUGGUGGGAACUCUAAGGAGACUGCCGGUGACAAACCGGAGGAAGGUGGGGACGACGUCAAGUCAUCAUGGCCCUUACGAGUAGGGCUACACACGUGCUACAAUGGCGCAUACAGAGGGCUGCGAACUCGCGAGAGUAAGCGAAUCCCAGAAAGUGCGUCGUAGUCCGGAUUGGAGUCUGCAACUCGACUCCAUGAAGUCGGAAUCGCUAGUAAUCGUGGAUCAGAAUGCCACGGUGAAUACGUUCCCGGGCCUUGUACACACCGCCCGUCACACCAUGGGAGUUGUUUGCACCAGAAGUAGCUAGCUUAACCUUCGGGAGGGCGGUUACCACGGUGUGGAUAAUGACUGGGGUGAAGUCGUAACAAGGUAGCCGUAGGGGAACCUGCGGCUGGAUCACCUCCUU